rnacentral:tRNA from 3 species
GGCGACGUAGCUCAGUGGUUAGAGCGGGCGCUUCAUAAGCGCUAGGUCGGAGGUUCAAGUCCCCCCGUCGCCACCA